GUCCAACCCCAGCAGGUCCAGGGGUCCCCAAAGGUGUGGACGGAGUCGGCAAAGAAGGAAUGACACUGAGACAGCGUUCAGUUGAUCAGCAGCUUAGCCAGGAUCUCUAGCCAAGUUCUGGUCAGGAUCUCCAGCGAAGUUCUGGUUAGGAUCUCCAGCCAGGUUCUGUGUCCAUGUUCUCUUGCUAGGUUCUCCAGCCAGGUUCUGUUUCUAGGUUCUUCAGUCAGGUUCUCCAGGUUCUCCAGCCAAGUUCUGUUCAGGUUCUGUCCAGGUUCUGUUGCCAUGUUCUCUCU